UAGAAGAGAAAGGGGUAGAGAAUUCUAGAAACAUGUUUAGGAAUAUAUAAGCCUUCUACACCCUCAUUUGAGGGGGGACUUCCGGCUCCACUCUUCCUCAAUAAAAGGGAAUUUUUUUAUAUGAUCUCUAGGCUACAUUUCAAGAAGAGUGUGAUAUGAGAUCGUGUGGGGCAAAAUCAAGUACUGUUACACAGAAAUGUGAUGUUCGUCCUACGAGGACUAUACGGAUCUCGCCCUAUACGGGCUAUAUGGUGCCCACUAUCGGGCUAUACGAAAAUAUGAUGAUUGUCCUACGAAGACUAUACGGAUCUCGCCCUAUACGGGCUAUAUGGUGACCACUAUUGGGCUAUACGGAUGUGUGAUGUUCGUCCUAUGAGGACUAUAUGGCUUUUGCCCUAUACGGGCUAUACGGUUGACAUGAUGUGAUUCUCGCCCUAUAUGGGCUAUAUGUUGCCCACUAUUUGGGCUAUAUGUUGAUAGUCUGUGUGCCCGUGUUAUUGCCGAGCACGACAGGGGGCUAUAUGAUGUGAUUUAUUAACUAUAUGAUGUGGCUGGAUUAAUGAUAUUCAAGGUUAAAUGUGUCUAUAUGGAUGAGAUUAA